rnacentral:rRNA from 1 species
UAAUACGUAGGGGGCGAGCGUUGUCCGGAAUUACUGGGCGUAAAGGGCGCGUAGGCGGUCUGUUAAGUUAGAUGUGAAAUCCCCGGGCUUAACCUGGGUGUUGCAUUUAAAACUGGCGGACUUGAGUGCAGGAGAGGAAAGCGGAAUUCCUAGUGUAGCGGUGAAAUGCGUAGAUAUUAGGAGGAACACCAGUGGCGAAGGCGGCUUUCUGGACUGUAACUGACGCUGAGGCGCGAGAGCGUGGGGAGCAAACAGG